UCUUUGGUGGUCCAGUGGUUAGGACGUUGCACUUUCACUGCCAAGGGUCUGAGUUCAAUCCUUGGUCGGGGAA